rnacentral:lncRNA from 1 species
UCCUGAGAGUUCCAUCCUAUUCGGCCUUAGCAUCCUUCACGGCCUUAGGCAUUCUUCGAGUCGUCCCCAUCUUUGCAUCUCUGCAUCCCUCAGACCAGCCUAGGUUAGCUCCAAAACUUUCUAUGUUUCUGUGGCUCUAUUUCUAGACUGUGCCGAUCCUCCUUCAUUGCAGAUAUGGGCACGGACGUGGCUCGGAUGUUAGCCAAGAGUCUC